AUUGAACGCUGGCGGCAGGCCUAACACAUGCAAGUCGAGCGGAUGAAGGGAGCUUGCUCCUGGAUUCAGCGGCGGACGGGUGAGUAAUGCCUAGGAAUCUGCCUGGUAGUGGGGGAUAACGUCCGGAAACGGGCGCUAAUACCGCAUACGUCCUGAGGGAGAAAGUGGGGGAUCCUCGGACCUCACGCUAUCAGAUGAGCCUAGGUCGGAUUAGCUAGUUGGUGGGGUAAAGGCCUACCAAGGCGACGAUCCGUAACUGGUCUGAGAGGAUGAUCAGUCACACUGGAACUGAGACACGGUCCAGACUCCUACGGGAGGCAGCAGUGGGGAAUAUUGGACAAUGGGCGAAAGCCUGAUCCAGCCACGCCGCGUGUGUGAAGAAGGUCUUCGGAUUGUAAAGCACUUUAAGUUGGGAGGAAGGGCAGUAAGUUAAUACCUUGCUGUUUUGACGUUACCAACAGAAUAAGCACCGGCUAACUUCGUG
rnacentral:rRNA from 1 species